UACGAAGGGGGCUAGCGUUGUUCGGAAUUAUUGGGCGUAAAGAGCGCGCAGGCGGUGUAUCAAGUCAGCUGUGAAAGAGGCCGGCUUAACCGGCAAGGGUCAUUUGAAACUGAUAGACUAGAGUGCAGCAGAGGAUAGUGGAAUUCCCGGUGUAGUGGUGAAAUGCGUAGAUAUCGGGAGGAACACCAGUGGCGAAGGCGACUAUCUGGGCUGCAACUGACGCUGAGGCGCGAAGGCUAGGGUAGCAAACAGG
rnacentral:rRNA from 1 species